UACGUAGGGUGCAAGCGUUGUCCGGAAUUAUUGGGCGUAAAGAGCUCGUAGGUGGUUUGUUACGUCUGCUGUGAAAACCUAGGGCUUAACCCUGGGCUUGCAGUGGAUACGGGCAGACUAGAGGUAGGUAGGGGAGAAUGGAAUUCCUGGUGUAGCGGUGAAAUGCGCAGAUAUCAGGAGGAACACCAAUGGCGAAGGCAGCACUCUGGGACGUGACUGACGCUGAGACGCGAAAGCGUGGGGAGCAAACAGG
rnacentral:rRNA from 1 species